GGCUGUAAUUUAGUUCAAUUCAGAACUGCAGAAUAGUACAGCUUGCACGGGAGCAAGGGAUGCCUGAGCACAAGCGGGAGUUCCGGGAGACUUCACGAAGCGCUUUCCUGCCUUCCCCCUGCGUGGGGACGGGGACUCUGCACCUGCGUCAGGGACAGUCUGGCCACAGCCGCUGCUGUGCCUCCGGAGACAGGGAACUAGCACAAAUGACCAUUUUGAAAUUGGAUCUGAGCAAAAUUACCAUCAAGUCCAUAAAGGACACUGAAGGAAUUUGAUCUUCAAUGACAAAAGUUUGAAGAAACAUGCGACGUCUCCGGAGAAGAGCUUCUCUGUGCUCCAAAUCAGGAUGUGAUUGAGAUCAACGCCCAGAUGCUCCAUGUAGGUCAGGACAUCAGGCAGAGGAAAGGACUGGAGGCUGACGCUAAGACGCUCUGUUUCACACGCUUGCCGUCUGGAAGGACCGGCAGAGGCAGUCACUUAAAUUAACUACAGGUCAGCAGACAAGAUACGUGAUCUAUUUCUCAGACAGACAACUUGAGCGUCCCGGACCCCGACGGCCUUCCACGGAGGCGCCCACCACCACCUCACGCUCCCGUCAGUGCAUGUCAGAGGUUGCUGUGCUCGUAAGCAGUGUUUCGUGUAACCUGUGGUCCUCUUGCUCGAAGCAAAGAAAUGGCUUUGGUUAAUUUAUGACCUACUAACCUUAAGCAAAACUGAAAUAAUGUUCUCAUAAGCCAAGGGAAGAAAAAUAAAAGCAAAAACAAAUCUGACCUUGAUGCCAUUUGGUCUUUUCCUGCCCACACAACCCUCCGAAAUUACAGGGAGGAGGACAGGAAGAUAUUUACCCACAGAUGGCCCGUUUUAUGGUUCUUUUCACUCAAGGAAAACUGUGCAAGAAUGCAGAUUCCCACCAUCAACUUAGAACUCUUGAAUUAUGAACAGUGUUUUUUAAAAAAAGACACUGCAUGUUUCCGUACAGAAAAUACAAAAUCGCAAUCCUGUUGAAUCUCAAUGUUUUAAAUAUAAAUGCUUGAUAGCCAAGAAUUAAGUCAUGAAAUAAAGAUGUGGAAGAUAUAGAGUUAGACAGUAAAGAGGUAGUGAUUGAAUCCAAACACAGACUAGCAGGAAACUACAUUAAACCAGCAAGUAGACCAAUUUUUAUGUAUGGAACAAAAAUAAUCUAGAAUAUGGGGCCCUAAAAUUUAUUUUCUCUUCUGACACUAGUGUACCUGUCACCAAGAGCAUAGAUCUUAUUUCCAGUUGUGGAAAAUUUACACUGCCCAGAAAAAAAGGCUCUGUGUUCAACAAACUUUAAGUAUGUGAAAUAUGCAUCCAGUUUAGUCCAAGGAGAGAAGAAAGAAUUAAUUACUGUGUUUACUGUUGCUAUUUUAUGUGUACAUGACAUUUACUGUAAUUUCUUACCGUUAUAAGUGAAUCAUUUUUAUAUUUAAGAAUGGUAAGGCAAUUAUAUUCUG